GGACCAAGGAGUCUAGCAUGUGCGCGAGUCAUUGGGAUAUUUACGAMACCUAAAGGCGCAAUGAAAGUGAAGGUUCGCCCUGCGCGANCCGAGGGAGGAUGGACGAUCCCGAGGGAUCGUCCCGCACUCCCGGGGCGUCUCGCUCUCAUCGCGAGAAGAGGCGCACCCAGAGCGUACACGCUGGGACCCGAAAGAUGGUGAACUAUGCCUGGUCAGGACGAAGUCAGGGGAAACCCUGAUGGAGGUCCGUAGCGAUUCUGACGUGCAAAUCGAUCGUCGGAACUGGGUAUAGGGGCGAAAGACUAAUCGAACCAUCUAGUAGCUGGUUCCCUCCGAAGUUUCCCUCAGGAUAGCUGGCGCUCGCUUCUCGCGAGUCUCAUUCGGUAAAGAGAAUGAUUAGAGGCAUUGGGGUCGAAACGGCCUCAACCUAUUCUCAAACUUUAAAUGGGUGAGAUCUCCGGCUUGCUUGAACUGUGAAGCCGCGAGAUAUCGGAUCAGAGUGCCAAGUGGGCCACUUUUGGUAAGCAGAACUGGCGCUGUGGGAUGAACCAAACGCUGAGUUAAAGCGCCUAAAUCGACGCUUAUGGGAUACCAUGAAAGGCGUUGGUAACUUAAGACAGCAGGACGGUG
rnacentral:rRNA from 1 species